UCUCUCUCUUCUCAUUUUCUCGUUGUUCCUUCCACGACGAAGGAUCCAAGGAUCGAGCCACGGUGGAGUUUUAACUCCGCCAUAUCUUCUCCGUUGCCACCGGCGUUCUUCAAUUAAAUCGAGUGAUCUCCUUAAUCCACCAUCCAUGGAUCGAGCUUCGCUCCUCAUCAUCCUCUGUAUAUUUUUCGAUCUGACCGCGGCUAAUAAAACUCCAGAUAAGCUCGAUUUAGGAGUCGAAUCGCCGAUGAUUUUCCCGCUCAGCUACUCCUCCCUUCCGCCGCGAGUCGAGGAUCUCCGCCGCCGUCGUCUCCAACAAUCUCAGCUCCCUAAUGCUCACAUGAAGCUCUACGACGACCUUUGUGCCAACGGGUUUGAAUUUCGAAUAAUUAGAUACUUGUUUGUAGAAGAAGAUGAUCUUCAGAAAUUAACUCAUGAUGUGGUGAAAUCAAUUAGAUUCAGUAGCGCUUUGAUUAAGGUGUAAGGAGAGUAUUGAGUUUGCUUUAGUUCUCCUCUUCGAUGAGUUUAUGCUUUGCUUAUCUCUGAUUAGGCGUGGAAAUGGUUUUCAGGAUCCAAAGUUUCAAUGACUGAUAUGGUGUUAAUGACUGAUGUAUUCGUUUCCCUGCAGGAUCAUUCUUUUUGUUAUAUUCUUCAACCAAGUGCUUGUUCUUCCAAUAUGAGUUUCUCCAGCGCUGCAGUUGGUUCAAAGGUAGUGGUACUUGUUUGGGUGUUGUUGAGAUUGUCACAACAACUCAGAAGAUGAAUUAUAGGCCAGAACUUGAGAAUAUCUGUAAAGCUCUCGAGGUUUCUCUCUUCCCUUGAUUCUUUAGCAUCAUCCUUUAUUACCAUAUUUUGUUUGUGCAUUGUAGCCUAAAGAGGUUUCUAUGUUUGUAGGCUGUUAAUCUAAGGAUUUCAACGAACCUGAAAUCUCCAAGCAGAGAGUUUCUGCAGGUAUAUAACCAUUUCUACCAUGCCGCAUUACCUAAGGUAUCAGACUUUUUGACAUCGGUGGGACUUGGCGUUGAUAUUAUUGGAAGCGGUUAGAGGAGGAAGGAAGCUUUCUGUAGAGGUGGAACAAAGGAUAAUGUCUUCAGGUAUCAUGCUUGUGAUAUUCCUUGGAUUGUUUCUCAUUGUCAAGGACACACUUAGUUUUGAUUUCAUCAAGGAAAUGUUGUAGUUAUCUCUUUGCUGAAAGAAAAAUGUUGUGAUUUAAGGAAGAGAGAAACUUUAGUGU